rnacentral:tRNA from 1 species
AUUUAAAUAGCUUAAUUAAGAGCAUUAUAUUGAAGAUAUAAAGGUAAAAUUAUUUUUUUUAAAUAUA